AUAAUGGGUCAGCGACUUAUAUUCUGUAGCAAGGUUAACCGAAUAGGGGAGCCGAAGGGAAACCGAGUCUUAACUGGGCGUUAAGUUGCAGGGUAUAGACCCGAAACCCGGUGAUCUAGCCAUGGGCAGGUUGAAGGUUGGGUAACACUAACUGGAGGACCGAACCGACUAAUGUUGAAAAAUUAGCGGAUGACUUGUGGCUGGGGGUGAAAGGCCAAUCAAACCGGGAGAUAGCUGGUUCUCCCCGAAAGCUAUUUAGGUAGCGCCUCGUGAAUUCAUCUCCGGGGGUAGAGCACUGUUUCGGCAAGGGGGUCAUCCCGACUUACCAACCCGAUGCAAACUGCGAAUACCGGAGAAUGUUAUCACGGGAGACACACGGCGGGUGCUAACGUCCGUCGUGAAGAGGGAAACAACCCAGACCGCCAGCUAAGGUCCCAAAGUCAUGGUUAAGUGGGAAACGAUGUGGGAAGGCCCAGACAGCCAGGAUGUUGGCUUAGAAGCAGCCAUCAUUUAAAGAAAGCGUAAUAGCUCACUGGUCGAGUCGGCCUGCGCGGAAGAUGUAACGGGGCUAAACCAUGCACCGAAGCUGCGGCAGCGACGCUGAUGCGUUGUUGGGUAGGGGAGCGUUCUGUAAGCCUGUGAAGGUGUGCUGUGAGGCAUGCUGGAGGUAUCAGAAGUGCGAAUGCUGACAUAAGUAACGAUAAAGCGGGUGAAAAGCCCGCUCGCCGGAAGACCAAGGGUUCCUGUCCAACGUUAAUCGGGGCAGGGUGAGUCGACCCCUAAGGCGAGGCCGAAAGGCGUAGUCGAUGGGAAACAGGUUAAUAUUCCUGUACUUGGUGUUACUGCGAAGGGGGGACGGAGAAGGCUAUGUUGGCCGGGCGACGGUUGUCCCGGUUUAAGCGUGUAGGCUGGUUUUCCAGGCAAAUCCGGAAAACUAAGACUGAGGCGUGAUGACGAGGCACUACGGUGCUGAAGCAACAAAUGCCCUGCUUCCAGGAAAAGCCUCUAAGCAUCAGGUAACAUCAAAUCGUACCCCAAACCGACACAGGUGGUCAGGUAGAGAAUACCAAGGCGCUUGAGAGAACUCGGGUGAAGGAACUAGGCAAAAUGGUGCCGUAACUUCGGGAGAAGGCACGCUGAUAUGUAGGUGAAGUCCCUCGCGGAUGGAGCUGAAAUCAGUCGAAGAUACCAGCUGGCUGCAACUGUUUAUUAAAAACACAGCACUGUGCAAACACGAAAGUGGACGUAUACGGUGUGACGCCUGCCCGGUGCCGGAAGGUUAAUUGAUGGGGUCAGCGCAAGCGAAGCUCUUGAUCGAAGCCCCGGUAAACGGCGGCCGUAACUAUAACGGUCCUAAGGUAGCGAAAUUCCUUGUCGGGUAAGUUCCGACCUGCACGAAUGGCGUAAUGAUGGCCAGGCUGUCUCCACCCGAGACUCAGUGAAAUUGAACUCGCUGUGAAGAUGCAGUGUACCCGCGGCAAGACGGAAAGACCCCGUGAACCUUUACUAUAGCUUGACACUGAACAUUGAGCCUUGAUGUGUAGGAUAGGUGGGAGGCUUUGAAGUGUGGACGCCAGUCUGCAUGGAGCCGACCUUGAAAUACCACCCUUUAAUGUUUGAUGUUCUAACGUUGACCCGUAAUCCGGGUUGCGGACAGUGUCUGGUGGGUAGUUUGACUGGGGCGGUCUCCUCCUAAAGAGUAACGGAGGAGCACGAAGGUUGGCUAAUCCUGGUCGGACAUCAGGAGGUUAGUGCAAUGGCAUAAGCCAGCUUGACUGCGAGCGUGACGGCGCGAGCAGGUGCGAAAGCAGGUCAUAGUGAUCCGGUGGUUCUGAAUGGAAGGGCCAUCGCUCAACGGAUAAAAGGUACUCCGGGGAUAACAGGCUGAUACCGCCCAAGAGUUCAUAUCGACGGCGGUGUUUGGCACCUCGAUGUCGGCUCAUCACAUCCUGGGGCUGAAGUAGGUCCCAAGGGUAUGGCUGUUCGCCAUUUAAAGUGGUACGCGAGCUGGGUUUAGAACGUCGUGAGACAGUUCGGUCCCUAUCUGCCGUGGGCGCUGGAGAACUGAGGGGGGCUGCUCCUAGUACGAGAGGACCGGAGUGGACGCAUCACUGGUGUUCGGGUUGUCAUGCCAAUGGCACUGCCCGGUAGCUAAAUGCGGAAGAGAUAAGUGCUGAAAGCAUCUAAGCACGAAACUUGCCCCGAGAUGAGUUCUCCCUGACUCCUUGAGAGUCCUGAAGGAACGUUGAAG
rnacentral:rRNA from 1 species